AAAAACGCUGCAGGUUAUUUGUUACUCGGCCGAUGAACAAUAGAACGAUAGCGUGAGCCCUUCCUCCUGACACCGUUCACUAUGUUCACGACAGUGUGAAAGGUUGGAAGCCGUUUGAGUUUUCCUAAAUGAAAAUUAAUUUUCAAGCGGUUUCUUAAUAUUGAGAAUUAAUUAGCUAAACCACAUGACUUGUACAGCCAACCGUAGAUAUGUGUGUAAGAAAUGUACGGGGAGAAAUUAUGUGAGUGUAAAAUAAACAUUCUGAUCGGCGUAAUUCAAGUAUUCUCGUUUGGAGGGGGAAGCAAGUUCGAAAUGAGCACGAAUUGCGGCGACAAUUGAUAAGCGUCGAUGAAAUUCGUACAAUUCAAAUGAGAUUAUUAAAAAAUCGGAACAAAAUGGACAAUACUCUUGCAAUUCAGUAGAAUAUAUGUAUAACGUACACGAGACAAAUCAUUAUGGAAAAUGGACAGUCAAAAUCUCAGAUUGAAAUUCACAAUAUUUUUAAAGUUAUCGCACAAGGGAUGGAGCGCGCCGCAGUAGGUAUACAAAUGGAAAUUGGUCAACAACAAGUACUCCAUUCGCCCCUUCUGUAUAGUAUCCCCAAUCCUAUUAUGUUGUAGCAAACUGACUAAGGCCUAUCAUUAUGUAAAAAUAUAUACUAUUAGAAAAUAAAAAUUG